UACGUAGGGCGCAAGCGUUGUCCGGAAUUAUUGGGCGUAAAGAGCUCGUAGGCGGUUUGUCGCGUCUGCCGUGAAAGCCCGGGGCUUAACUCCGGGUCUGCGGUGGAUACGGGCAGACUAGAGGCAGGUAGGGGGAGAACGGAAUUCCCGGUGUAGCGGUGAAAUGCGCAGAUAUCGGGAGGAACACCGGUGGCGAAGGCGGUUCUCUGGGCCUGUACUGACGCUGAGGAGCGAAAGCGUGGGGAGCGAACAGG
rnacentral:rRNA from 1 species